rnacentral:rRNA from 1 species
AUUGAACGCUGGCGGCAGGCCUAACACAUGCAAGUCGAGCGAGCGGCGGACGGGUGAGUAAUGUCUGGGGCCUGCCCGAUAGAGGGGGAUAACUACUGGCAACGGUAGCUAAUACCGCAUACUAUCGGAUCACCCAUAUGGGAUUAGCUAGUAGGUGAGGUAAUGGCUCACCUAGGCGACGAUCCCUAGCUGGUCUGAGAGGAUGAUCAGCCACACGGGGACUGAGACACGGACCAGAAAACAACGGAGGCAGAAGGGGGGAAUAUUGCACAAUGGGCGCAAGCCUGAUGCAGCCAUGCCGCGUGUAUGAAGAAGGCCCUAGGGUUGUAAAGUACGUUCAGUCGGGAGGCGUUACCGACAGAAGAAGAACCGGAUAACGCCGUGCCAGCAGCCGCGGUAAUAC